GAGGCUGGAUAACACACAUUGAUGGAAAUUGUGUGUGUUCUGUUGGACCAGAUUGCUGCCAAUAAAAGCAAGUUGAAGAAUAAUCUGGUGCCAUAAUCUGCUUUUUGGUGAAUAUGGAGCACAAGAGUGAUGACACAAAUUGUCCAGACCACAUCUACUGAACAGCCUCUUCAGUCUAUCCCUGUGGACGUGGCAGACUGCAGUGCUGUUGAGCCUCAGCUGUGUCAUUGUUGACCUCAGCCAGGUCUUCAACCGUCGCAGAGCUCUGAAACUCCUUUCAGCCUCACAGGAUGACACUGGGACCACAAUUAACAGUCUCACCAGAGUCUCAACUUGUGAGAAGAGCCCUCUGACCUCUGGUUGCAUCCCUCUAAGAAUUUGGACAGCCUCUUUGCAGGAAGUGUAGGUAUGAUUUGCUUUAAACAUUGCCAACUGAAUUAGCAUUUUUUGCAGGUCCAGUUCUGGAUACAGGCUCACCAUAUCAUUGGUCUUUCCAGUAAGCAGCAGCUCCUCCAGCUUGUUCAGAUUUUCCAGGCUCGGCUGGUCAAAGCGAUCAUGUAGCUGGGUGAUCACUGUGUCAAUGGCACUGAAAAAAUGGACCCGGAAAUACUCCUCUGGUGUCGCAGGAGUAUGAUGCUUGGCUGGACCACCAUAUUUUCUGGAUAUUCGGACAUGAGGUGGGUGUACUGGCUGGAGGUCCAAGUCUGCAACAAGUCUCACAGCUUUACCAUAGAUGCCCAUGAAACUUAUCAUUAGUCCUCAAAGAGAGAAAGCCCUGUCUGGUGUAUUCAACAGCUUUCAGCAUUCCACUGAUGGUUUUUCCUCUUGCCUGCAGACUCAAGUUCAGGUCCUCCAAAAUCCAGGAUCUCUUGUCCCAGGAGAAGGCCAAGAAUGGUGUUGCCCUUUUCCAGUCUGUCAAGUAGGCCGUUAGCUUUAGAAGCAGUACUGUCAGUGAGAUUUGUAGAUGCCAUCUCUUCCAGGGCAGCCAAGAUGGACUCAUAUUGAGUCAAGACUGCUCUGAUUGCUGGUGUGCGCACAGUCCAUCUGGUGGCACACAGAGGCUUGAUGGAAGUGAAGGAGCCAUUUUUUUAUGUGCAUAUGUCUUUGAAUAUAGUUUUGCAUUUGCUAGACUGAACGAACAAGCAGCCCAGCUCAUGUACCCACUGCAGAGCAUCCCUGAUCACAGGUGUGGAGGUACAUGCAGCCUGUGUGACAAGGUUCACAUAGUGUGGGCCACAGUGGACAAAGGUGGCCAAUGAUUGCUCUCUUCUAAUCUGAGCUUGUAACCCUGACAGGUGCCCCGACAUGUUGGCUGCUCCAUCAUAGGUCUGUCCACGUAGGCCUGAGAAAGGCAGGUUUAGACGGAGAAGCACAUCAGAGGCGAUUUUAAAAAGGUGCUUGCCAGUAGGCUCCAGGCCAUCAUCAACAUACCGGAGGCAUAUUGAAAUCUGUUCGGUGCCAGAUAUAUCCUGGGUCCCAUCCAUUAUCAGAGAGAACUGCAGUACAGGACUUGUGUAGGAAUGAUUCUUCUGCAGCCAGCUUGCCAGAUUGAGGUCAUUCUCAGCCUUCUCAUCCAGAUGCUGCUUGAAGUUUCCGUCAU